rnacentral:rRNA from 1 species
UACAGGGGGUGCAAACGUUGCUCGGAAUCAUUGGGCGUAAAGCGCACGUAGGCGGUUCGUUAUGUCGGAUGUGAAAGCCCUUGGCUUAACCGAGGAAGUGCAUCCGAAACUGGCGAGCUAGAGUACGAAAGAGGAUCGCGGAAUUCCCGGUGUAGAGGUGAAAUUCGUAGAUAUCGGGAGGAACACCAGUGGCGAAGGCGGCGAUCUGGGAAGAUACUGACGCUGAGGUGCGAAAGCGUGGGGAGCGAACAGG